AUUGAACGCUGGCGGCAGGCCUAACACAUGCAAGUCGAGCGGUUGAAGGGAGCUUGCUCCUGGAUUCAGCGUCGGACGGGUGAGUAAUGCCUAGGAAUCUGCCUGGUAGUGGGGGAUAACGUCCGGAAACGGGCGCUAAUACCGCAUACGUCCUGAGGGAGAAAGUGGGGGAUCUUCGGACCUCACGCUAUCAGAUGAGCCUAGGUCGGAUUAGCUAGUUGGUGGGGUAAAGGCCUACCAAGGCGACGAUCCGUAACUGGUCUGAGAGGAUGAUCAGUCACACUGGAACUGAGACACGGUCCAGACUCCUACGGGAGGCAGCAGUGGGGAAUAUUGGACAAUGGGCGAAAGCCUGAUCCAGCCAUGCCGCGUGUGUGAAGAAGGUCUUCGGAUUGUAAAGCACUUUAAGUUGGGAGGAAGGGCAGUAAGUUAAUACCUUGCUGUUUUGACGUUACCAACAGAAUAAGCACCGGCUAACUUCGUG
rnacentral:rRNA from 1 species